ensembl:lncRNA
AUGGGCUGAUUUUGGUUUCUAGCAGGAGAAUAAGUUGACCAGCAUUCACUCAUUAGCAAGAUGGAUCAUGCAAGCAGACUAUGAUUUCAAAAGUCCUCAGAGUAUCUGCAAAGCGAUCCUUUUGCUGCAAAUCCUUUGUUUCGAAGUGCAAACUUUGCAUCCCACAGUGGUCCAGGCACGAUGCACGUUUGUUCCUCUGUAUGUUACAGGUCUGCAAACUGACGUGAAGAAAAUCCAGUCAAGGCAAGUGAUUGAGUUUGGUGUCCUUUCUCUGACAGCAGACAGUGAGAUGGACUCUAGGAAACGUAGAGCAAGAUAACGGGGCCUGAGGAUGAAUCCCAGUACUGUCUGAAGAAAGGAUGUUUAAGGGAUAACCCUCUUCACAGAUGCAAGGAAGGGGAGCAGAGUUUAGAAGGAAUUGAAGCAAAGCAGAAGAGAAAGCUGCUGAAAGCAAAAAUAUUGUCCCAGAAAGUGUUUUAAUGGAUUCAAUUCUCACCCUCAUUCUUCUUGAGCAUUCAUUCGCUGUUCAAUGUGUGAGUACAAAAAAUGUAUUUUUCUUAUUCUGACAUACAUUUCCAAAGCAGCCCUGUUCCUUGAGUGCUGGAUGCUAUUGGAGAAACUCAUAGAAUCAUAGAACGGCCUAGGCUGGAAACAUCCUCAAAGGUCAUCCAGCCCCAACCCGGGGCCAUGGGCAGGAUUACCACCUUCCAGAUCAGGCAGCCCAGGGCCCCAUCCAACCUGGCCUUGAGCACCUCCAGAGAUGGAGCACCCACAGCUUCUCUGGGCUUUUCAUCCGGCUUCUCAUUUUGCAAUGAGAGAAUUUUUCACCCUAGAUUUUGUCCACGAGAUCCAGAGCAGAUGUUUUCUUAAAGAGCCAACAAAGAAGCCAUCACACACCACUUCCACAGUCAUCUCAGCCAAGAGUUACGACUUCAUCUUUGUGUAAACAGUGUCAAUUGGACCUCUAUUAUACUCCUUCUCCUCUCUGACCAUGUGAAAACAAAAUGCUGACAGCAAAAUUCUGCUCUUUACAACACAUACAACAAAAAUGGCCAGAAAUUCAUGAUGGCUAUCUGGCUUAAUGCACAAACCCAACAUGUUCGAAGCUGCUUCUUGUAUAUUUUGGCCUUGAUUUUGCAAACAAAACGCCAGCAAUAGCCAAGUGAAAACAGAGCAAACAGAGCAGAAAAGGCUGUCUCACCCUUGGUGACAGUCGGUCAUUGGACUGGCUUCUUGCACAAUGAGGGAUUCUUGCAGCGUGGCUGCCAACCCCAUCCAUGUCAGACCUUUCCCUCCCUGAUCAAAGGCUUUGGCUGAUGUAAGUCAUGAUGUUUCACUGAACCUGAGUGACCGAGGAGAGAAAGGACAAGAGGUGUUUUAUCCAGACUGGGACCUGAUCUCCAGCAGAGGGGAAACAUUCACCCAGCUGGGAGGAGGAGAUGUUUAUUAUUAGGCUGUGUAAAAGUUAGCUACAAUACAGAGCCAAUUCACAGGAGCAAUAAUUCCUGGUCAAAACCUUAGCCAGUUUAGAUUGAUUAUGUAUUUUUUUUAUGCUGUCUUACAUCAGUAGGAGGAUCUAAACAUUUUGGUUUGUUGUAAGAUGUUGGAGAAACUCAGUUCAACACGUGCCAUACCCAAGGGUCUCCUUAAAAUAGCAACAUUACAAAGGCUUCUUUUAGUGCUGCAUUCCUUCUGGGUUCAUUAUACACACAUUCAUGGAUACAAUCUGAAAGAAAAACAAAACAAAACUUAGAUGUCCAAAUUACCUUUGCCUUGACAUAAAGAGAUGCCUGGAACAGAUCUGCUGGAGAAUGGAGUCCUGUGCCCCCCAGUGGGAAGAGACCGGACAAACAACAGCAGACAUCUGGAUGUGCAGAAGAGCUCAUUCCCCUCUCAAAGGUCUGCAGAGAGGGGGAAGAGUUGCCUUGUAACCCUGGCUGAGAGAAUACACAAUGUCUGGGGAUGAAUAGAGAUAAUAAAAGCAUUUUCCUGGGGCACUGCCCCCCAAAAAUGAGCAAACUCAGCUGUUUCGUGUUUGACCUCGCAUAAAUUCGGAUUUCCAAUGGCGGUAGGACCUAAAAGCGGAGGGCUUGAUCCUCAGCACCCAAUGAGUCAGGCAGAGAGAGAGACCCUUUUCAUGUGGGGAAAGAACUGGGCAGUUUGCUUGGGAAGAGAAGUGCUGGAAUGAUGCAAAUUGGGAAAUUCUCACAUGCUUUCCUCUGGUGCCUGACUGAGAGCCCCAGCCAUGGUUUAGGCCUUAAGUUGAUUCAGGGGAGGUUCAGAUUGGAUGUUAGGAAACAUUUCUUCUCCAAAAGAGUGGCAAUGCAGUGGCACAGCUGCCCAGGGAGGUGGUGGGGUCACCAGCCCUGGAGGUUUUCCUGAACCAUGGAGAUGUGGCACUGAGGGAUGUGGGCAAUGGGCAUGGUGGGGUGGGUUGGGGUUGGUGAUCUCAGAGGUCUUUUCCAAACCUUAAUGAUUCCAUGAUUGUGUGAUUCACUGUGUCUUUAGAGGGCCCUCAGUCAUACAGUCCAACUGCUCAGCUCCCACAAGCCUGCUCUGCCCACCUCAUCUGGCCUCACUCCUAUCUUGCACUGAGUGCCAUGGGAGCUGGGUUACAUCCUCUACUUGAAGAAACUGCUCUUUAGAGCUGCAUUUGAUGCUCAUGACUCCAAAGACCUGCAGCCCUUGCAACUCCUAUCUUCCCAGAAAGGAGCAACGAAGGAAACGCAGACUGCUGCAAUUGGAUUUGGGGAAUCCUGUGGUGUUGGGUUUACAUUGUUUGAAGAUAACAGGGAUCCAGAAUAACAUCUGCCAUAUUCUUGGUGGCCAUAAGAGUGGGGCUCUGCUGGGCCAACUUUGAGCUGGGGUUGGAGGGAGGGAAAAGUUUCCUUCUUGCACAGCUUCAGCAGUUCAGCAGUAUCUGCCCUUAAUCAUUAAAUGAUUGGAUGGAGAAAUUACCAGCAUAAAGGCAUCCCUGGCCCAGUCCCAGCACACGAGGGACUGGAUACAAAGGGGUGACCAAAGUCUGGAUGUCUCUUAAACCAGAUCAGAUCCUGCUUUAUUUGCAUCACCACCCAGUAGCAGCAGGAGGUGGGGAGCAAUGCAAUAUAUGAGGCGUUCUCUUGCUCCUUCCCUCUUUCCCACCCAAAAAAUAAUAAUAAAUUUAAAAAAAACAGCAAAAGAGAUGCUAUGGGACUCAUGAAACUUUGCAGCAGAGUUAUUUUUCUUCCCCCCCUUCUUCUCAGACAGACUAUAGAGCCUCGGGUACACAUUUGCUCAGUUGCCUAUACUUAAACACGCACAGACGCUCAGCUCCCACCAGGGAUGGAGGCUGUCCCACCCCUUUGGUUGAGCAGAUUGGAGAGAAGUGAGCCAACAGCCCCCCCCAAAUGAAAUGAAAUGAAAUAAAGCAGCAGAGGUGGAAAUACCUUCCCCAGGAUUCCCCCAGGAUCCCCUCUCAGGAACCCCCUUUUUGAGCCCACCUCCCUCAAUAAGUGUAUUUUUAAUCCCUAUGUGGGACAUAAAUUUGGGAACAGCGUGGAUGAGGGGCAGUGGGACAGACUGAUGGCGUUGGGGUGGAUGGGGAGGGGGGGUUGGCUUCGUGGCUUUUAAAUCCUUUCUCCCAACCCUUCGUGUGGGUGCCCCCUUCAGCACGCAUUGCCCAACCGGAGCGCAGGGGGUGGGACGGGGGGUGGGAUGCGGUGCGGUGCGGUGCGGUGGGAGGGCUGCGGGAUGACCCCGUGCCUCGCAGCCCGUCGGUCAAAGGCUGAGUACGGCUGAUCAAUGGGGGCCAACCCCUGGGGGGGGAAGGGGGGGGGGCUUUUAUACCUACCCUUCUCCCCCCGCGGUGCGGAGAUCUGUCGGGGCUGGCAGGGAGAGGCAGAGGGCUCGCAAGGAGAAGGAGGAG